UACGAAGGGGGCUAGCGUUGCUCGGAAUUACUGGGCGUACAGCGCACGUAGGCGGCUUUCUAAGUCGGGGGUGAAAUCCUGGAGCUCAACUCCAGAACUGCCUUCGAUACUGGAGAGCUUGAGUCCGGGAGAGGUGAGUGGAACUGCGAGUGUAGAGGUGAAAUUCGUAGAUAUUCGCAAGAACACCAGUGGCGAAGGCGGCUCACUGGCCCGGUACUGACGCUGAGGUGCGAAAGCGUGGGGAGCAAACAGG
rnacentral:rRNA from 1 species